rnacentral:rRNA from 1 species
AAUUUGAUCCUGNNUNAGGACGAACGCUGGCGGCGCGCCUAACACAUGCAAGUCGAACGAAGUUAAACUAGCUGAAGUUUUCGGAUGGAAGCGAAUUUAGCUUAGUGGCGAACGGGUGAGUAACACGUGAGUAACCUGCCCUUCAGUGGGGGACAACAGUUGGAAACGACUGCUAAUACCGCAUAAGACCACAGUGCCACAUGGCACAGUGAUCAAAGGAUUAAUUUUCGCUGAAGGAUGGACUCGCGUCUGAUUAGCUAGAUGGUGAGGUAACGGCCCACCAUGGCAACGAUCAGUAGCCGGACUGAGAGGUUGAUCGGCCACAUUGGGACUGAGACACGGCCCAGACUCCUACGGGAGGCAGCAGUGGGGGAUAUUGCACAAUGGAGGAAACUCUGAUGCAGCGACGCCGCGUGAGGGAAGAAGGUUUUCGGAUUGUAAACCUCUGUCUUCGGGGACGAAACAAAUGACGGUACUCGAGGAGGAAGCCACGGCUAACUACGUGCCAGCAGCCGCGGUAAUACGUAGGUGGCAAGCGUUGUCCGGAAUUACUGGGUGUAAAGGGAGCGCAGGCGGAACUGCAAGUUGGGUGUUUAAUCUACGGGCUCAACCCGUAUCAGCAUUCAAAACUGUGGUUCUUGAGUAAUGCAGAGGUAGGCGGAAUUCCCGGUGUAGCGGUGGAAUGCGUAGAUAUCGGGAGGAACACCAGUGGCGAAGGCGGCCUACUGGGCAUCAACUGACGCUGANGCUCGAAAGCAUGGGUAGCAAACAGGAUUAGAUACCCUGGUAGUCCAUGCUGUAAACGAUGAUUACUAGGUGUGGGGAGAUUGACCCUCUCCGUGCCGCAGUUNACACAAUAAGUAAUCCACCUGGGGAGUACGANCGCANGGUUGANNUCAAAGGAAUUGACGGGGNCCGCACNANGCAGUNNNUAUGUGGUUUAAUUCGAAGCAACG